rnacentral:rRNA from 1 species
CGACGCCGCGUGCGGGAUGGAGGCCUUCGGGGUUGUAAAACCGCUUUUGUUCAAGGGCAAGGCACGGCUUCGGGCCGUGUUGAGUGGAUUGUUCGAAUAAGCACCGGCUAACUACGUGCC